GCACGAGUGGCUGAGCGGUCUAAAGCGCUCGACUCAAGUUCGAGUAUCCUAGGAUGCGUGGGUUCGAAUCCCACCUCGUGCA
rnacentral:tRNA from 1 species